UGACUCUCGGCAACGGAUAUCUCGGCUCACGCAUCGAUGAAGAACGUAGCAAAAUGCGAUACUUGGUGUGAAUUGCAGAAUCCCGUGAACCAUCGAGUUUUUGAACGCAAGUUGCGCCCGAAGCCAUCUGGUUGAGGGCACGUCUGCCUGGGCGUCACG
rnacentral:rRNA from 1 species